GGAGGAGGGAUGAUCAGCCCACACUGGAAUGAGACACGGUCCAGAUUCUUACGGGAGGCAGCAGUGGGGAAUAUUGGACAAGGGGCGCAAGCCUGAUCCAGCCAUACGGCGUGGGUGAAGAAGGCCUUCGCGUUGUAAAGCCCUUUUGUUGGGAAAGAAAUCCAGCCGGCUAAUACCUGGUUGGGAUGACGGUACCCAAAGAAUAAGCACCGGCUAACUUCGUGCCAGCAGCCGCGGUAAUACGAAGGGUGCAAGCGUUACUCGGAAUUACUGGGCGUAAAGCGUGCGUAGGUGGUUGUUUAAGUCUGUUGUGAAAGCCCUGGGCUCAACCUGGGAACUGCAGUGGAAACUGGACAACUAGAGUGUGGUAGAGGGUAGCGGAAUUCCCGGUGUAGCAGUGAAAUGCGUAGAGAUCGGGAGGAACAUCCAUGGCGAAGGCAGCUACCUGGACCAACACUGACACUGAGGCACGAAAGCGUGGGGAGCAAACAGGAUUAGAUACCCUGGUAGUCCACGCCCUAAACGAUGCGAACUGGAUGUUGGGUGCAAUUUGGCACGCAGUAUCGAAGCUAACGCGUUAAGUUCGCCGCC
rnacentral:rRNA from 1 species